CCCCUUCCUCCUACAGUUCCGCCCGCCAGUCCCUUGACUCCGGUCUUCCCUCGCGCCCCGGAGUGACGCUGAGGACCCCCACCUCUUUUCUAUGGUUCCUCCCCCUGCACUCAGGGAGACCGUUGGAGGGGAUGAGGUGGAGCCCACGGAGGAAGAGAAAGGAAUCCAACUGGAUUGGAUAAGCAGCUGACAUGGCAACUGGAAGCUGUAGUAUUGUCAUAGUAACCAAUGUGUGCCUACCGGGUGACCCUCCCCUGGCGAAUAGAUAUUCGGGAAGGUGCCCAGGGUUUUCCCUUGGCUUCCCUUAACGUCUAAAGUCCUCCCCCAGUUUGGGAAUCCGGGUAGUUCUCCCCGGCUGUGAAGUUCAUUUCCUCCUCCCUCUCCCCUGCCCCCAGCUUUGGGGGACACCCCCAGGCAUUCACCGUGGGCUUUUCCACCCGCCCAAGGGCGGGAACCACCUGCAUAGUUUCCUCUCAGCCGGACGUGGAAAGGGCCGGGCCUGCGAAGGAGACGCAAGGCCCGAAGGCUGGCAGGCUGCGGGCUGGAGCAGGGAGAGCGAGGAGGCGCGGCUGGGCUGCGUGGCGGACGAGGGGUUUUCCCACAGCAGCCUCGAGCUCGGGGAGGCGGGAUCCCGGCAAGACGGGGUCCCUGAGGGAGGAGAACGGCACACGACAGCCUCGAUCCCUCUCCUGCCGGCGGGAACCUCCUACUUUUCCGAGUGGGUCGGAGGAUUCCUUAUAGGAAUCUCCCAGACCCCACCCCACACCCACCCUCCGCGACCGAGCCUCCUCGGAGUUCCCCCGCGGCCUUCCCAAGCCACGCCACCUGCCGCAAGGAGGCUGGAGUGGGAGAAGGGGGCGCAUCCUAUAAGCCUAACAAGUAGGUGAAGAGGCACUUUCAGGAUCCUUCCCUGAGCCGGGACCUAUUAAAUGACUGGACCAAUAUCUGUUUUGGAACUCUUGAGCUCUGUCUAGGUUACUAUGGAUACCGCAGUAAAAAAGACAUGGUCCCAGGCUUGGAGGAACCCACCUGCUGGAAGAGGUACCAGAGAGAAGACAAGGAUGCAGUGUGAUGCAUGUGAUAAUUAAGGGUGAUUGAUCAAUUGCAGUAGUCAAGGACACCAUGCACAUGAGGCUGGCCUGCGCUCUGGGUGACCACACCUUAGACCACGGAGCUACGUGAUUCAAUCAAAGGAGUGAUUUAUUCUCUUUGAAAAGUCACUGUCCCUGGUCCCUCCCAGUUGUAUAACCAUGUGCAUUUUCCUCCUUUCUCUGCAAUGUAACCAGUCAAGAAUUUUUUUUAUGGGUGAGGAAGAAGGAGAGAAGCAGGAAAAUUGAAUUGAGAAGAAAGCAAGAGUGGGGAAAAGAAAAGAUAAAAGGACACCAUGAAGUCUGGAGGAAGAGAAAAAAGAGACGGAGGAGCAAAGAAACCCACUGUCUGGGGCAGGAAUAGUUGUCUGGCACCGAUCUGUUUGGACCUCCUUUCUUUGAGAGAUAAGAGGAAAAGACUAGAUCCGCAUUCUGUCUUAAAAACAAGAAAGGGGACUUAAAAACAAGAAUUGGUGACCUCUGAAAGGUGCUUCCAGACUCAGCAAUCUCUGUCUUCUGAAGGUACACCCUAGAUCUUGCUUCCUGUGAUAGUUGGCGAUCAUUCCAUGUAACAAUCCAGUUCAAAGAGGCUGGUAUGUAGCAUGAGAAACUCCGUAUUGCCGUUUUAAAGACUGGUCUUCAAAACAAAAUGAAUUGCCCUGGACUUGUUGAUUGAAAAAUUAUCCUAUAACCAAAAGAUCGCUGGUUUGAUUCCAGGUCAGGGCAUGUGCCAAGGUUGUGGAGUUGAUCCCCUGUUGAGGCCUGUACAGGAGGCAGCUGCCUGGAGUGUUUCACAUCUCUCUCUUUUUCUCUUCCCUUCUCUAGAAUGAGAAUAAAAUAA